rnacentral:tRNA from 1 species
GCGCCUGUAGCUCAGUGGAUUAGAGCACUAGUCUUCGGAACUAGGUGUCGGGGGUUCGAAUCCCUCCAGGCGUA